AUGGGAUGGAGCUGGACCAUUCUCUUCCUCCUGUCAGUAAUUACAGGUGUCCACUCCCAGGUCCAGCUGCAGCAGUCUGGGCCUGAGCUGGUGAAACCUGGGGUCUCUGUGAAGUUGUCUUGCAAGGCUUCAGGCUACACUUUCACUAAUGAAUAUAUGCAGUGGGUGAAGCAGAGGCCUGGACAGGGCCUGGAGUGGAUUGGAUACAUUUAUCCUGGAAAUGGUAAUUCUGGCUGUGCUCAGAAGUUCCAGGGCAAGGCCACACUGACUGCAGACACAUCUUCCAGCACAGCCUACAUGGAUCUCAGCAGCCUGACAUCUGAGGACUCUGCGGUCUAUUACUGUGCAAGAAACACAGUAUUACAACCCACAUCCUGAGUGUGU